AUUGAACGCUGGCGGCAUGCUUUACACAUGCAAGUCGAACGGCAGCGCGGGCUUCGGCCUGGCGGCGAGUGGCGAACGGGUGAGUAAUGCAUCGGAACGUGCCCAGUCGUGGGGGAUAGCCCGGCGAAAGCCGGAUUAAUACCGCAUACGACCUGAGGGUGAAAGCGGGGGACCGAAAGGCCUCGCGCUAUUGGAGCGGCCGAUGUCGGAUUAGCUAGUUGGUGGGGUAAAGGCUUACCAGGGCGACGAUCCGUAGCUGGUCUGAGAGGACGACCAGCCACACUGGGACUGAGACACGGCCCAGACUCCUACGGGAGGCAGCAGUGGGGAAUUUUGGACAAUGGGGGCAACCCUGAUCCAGCCAUGCCGCGUGCGGGAAGAAGGCCUUCGGGUUGUAAACCGCUUUUGUUCGGGAAGAAAUCCUCUGGGCUAAUACCCCGGGGGGAUGACGGUACCGGAAGAAUAAGCACCGGCUAACUACGUG
rnacentral:rRNA from 1 species